AUGGCUUCUAUCCUCAACACUGCUCAGGGCUUAAAGGAUCUGAGGCAGCUCAUAGAUGCAUCCGAAGCCCUGUUAUGUGUUGGAAAGAAGUAUUGUUUGGGUUUCACUGCCUGUUCGCUUUUGGCCCAUGCCUUGGGGCACAUCCUUCAGUGUCUCCAUGUAUUGCGGAGGCUGACCUGGUUCUCACUUGGAGGCCCGGGACCCACAGGCAGGAGACGGCGUGUAUCUCCGAGUCAUUGUCCCUUCUUCUUGCACCCGUACCUGACCCUGACCAGACCCCUCAGCUCCUGGCCCGACUGGCUCCAUCCUCAUCUCGGGACAGCGGCCCACACCGGAGCACUAGCCCCUGGGAGCCGCCUCAUGUCUCACCUCCGACCGCAUCAGGCUGCUCUAUGCCUGCAAGUUAAAAGCAGGCGGAGAAGAGAUAUUUCCAAACAUUCUGUAAAUUAAACUCCAAGGAGCAAAGCAGCUAAGCCCAGCCUGGUCAGCAUUGCUUUUCUUCGGAAAGAGGAAGGCAGAUCCUUCUGGGGAAGGAACUUGACAGUACCAGCUGAAACUUCCUGGAAGGUGCUGAGUAGGUGCAAGGAGCCGAGUGCACUGCCGGGCACUGGCACUAGCUCACCACUCCGCCUGGCAGUUUCGAAAAAGUCUGUGGUCACAAUGUCACCGAGGCAGCACC
rnacentral:lncRNA from 1 species